rnacentral:RNase_P_RNA from 1 species
GGGAGUAGGUGGACGGCUGACGGCGGAUAUCGCUGAGGAAAGUCCCCUCUCACUCUGAACCAGGUAACUGUGCAAUGGUGAUGAGGUCUUCUAAAGAUUUGAUGAAACGUGCCAAUCUAUCCCUGGAGCAAGUCCAAACAGCAGGAUCAGUUGUUCAGACUGCCUGCAGGUAGGACGCAUAGUAGAAUGCCGUUUAAAACAGAAAGGGGCUUACGGCCUACUCCC